UACGAGGGGGGCAAGCGUUGUUCGGAAUUAUUGGGCGUAAAGGGCGCGUAGGCGGUGGCUACAGUCAGGCGUGAAAUUCCUGGGCUUAACCUGGGGGCUGCGUUUGAUACGUAGUGGCUAGAGUGGGGAAGAGGGUCGUGGAAUUCCCAGUGUAGAGGUGAAAUUCGUAGAUAUUGGGAAGAACACCGGUGGCGAAGGCGGCGACCUGGUCCUUGACUGACGCUGAGGCGCGAAAGCGUGGGGAGCAAAACAGGAUUGAGAAACCCGGGUAGG
rnacentral:rRNA from 1 species